rnacentral:rRNA from 1 species
GACGAACGCUGGCGGCGUGCUUAACACAUGCAAGUCGAACGGAAAGGCCCUGCUUUUGUUGGGUGCUCGAGUGGCGAACGGGUGAGUAACACGUGAGUAACCUGUCCUUGACUUUGUGAUAACUUCACGAAACUCGGGCUAUUACCGGAUAGGAUCUCCUGCUGCAUGGUGGUGGUUGGAAAGAUUCGGCGGUUGUGGCUGGUCUCGCGGCUUAUGAGCUUGAUGGUGAAGUAGUGGCGUACCAAGGCUUCGACGGAUAGGCGGCCUGGGAGGGGAGCCGGGCACAUGAGGACUACGGUACGCACCAGACGGGAACGGGAGGCAGCGGUGGGGAAUAUUGCACAGUAGGGCGAAGCGUGAGACGGAAGCCCCGGGUGCGGAAUGACGGCCUUCGGGUUAUAAACAGCUGUCGCCUGAGACGAGGCGUGAGUGACGGUAAUGGGUAAAAAAGCACCGGCUAACUACGUG